GAUGAACGCUGGCGGCGUGCCUAAUACAUGCAAGUCGAGCGAACUGAUUAGAAGCUUGCUUCUAUGACGUUAGCGGCGGACGGGUGAGUAACACGUGGGCAACCUGCCUGUAAGACUGGGAUAACUUCGGGAAACCGAAGCUAAUACCGGAUAGAAUCUUCUCCUUCAUGGGAGAUGAUUGAAAGAUGGUUUCGGCUAUCACUUACAGAUGGGCCCGCGGUGCAUUAGCUAGUUGGUGAGGUAACGGCUCACCAAGGCAACGAUGCAUAGCCGACCUGAGAGGGUGAUCGGCCACACUGGGACUGAGACACGGCCCAGACUCCUACGGGAGGCAGCAGUAGGGAAUCUGCCGCAAUGGACGAAGGUCUGACGGAGCAACGCCGCGUGAGUGAUGAAGGCUUUCGGGUCGUAAAACUCUGUUGUUAGGGAAGAACAAGUACGAGAGUAACUGCUCGUACCUUGACGGUACCUAACCAGAAAGCCACGGCUAACUACGUGCCAGCCGCCGCCGUAA
rnacentral:rRNA from 1 species